UGCUCUUCUUAGUUCAGUCACUCGGUGCGCGAUGUGUUACUCACUGUGCGGCGGGGACCGCGGCGAGCCCGGGUCGCCGUUGGCAGCAGGAGCCCCGGCAGCGGCGCGGACCCCGAGUGCCUGGGCGCAGCCCGGCGCCCCGCAACGCGGCGCGGGGGCAGGACCAGUGCGGCCGCGCGCGCCUUAGGCUCGGCCCCGCGGCUCGGAGACCCCGACUCUCGGCCCAGCCAGCAAGUCCCCAGGCGCCGCCCGGGAGCCCGGGAGGCAGAGGCCGCGGGCGGCCGGGCAUCCUCUCGGGCCGCGGAGGGCGCUGCGCCACCGCGCGCUGCCGGGCGCCCCGCUCCCCGGCCUCCGAACCUUCCCGGCUCCGGGCCCGAGGGACGCGGGCUCCGGCGGGCGAGCGCGGGGAGAGGGAGCCCCGCCCGCGCCCUCGCUCCCCAGCCUCUCCGAGCCGAGCCGGGCCGGGGCUGCGGCCUGAAGCUCCCGCGAUGGCGAGCCCGCCGCGGCAUGCGCUCCCCGCGCCGGCGGGCGGCGACGGCCCCAACCUCAAUAACAACAACAAUAACCAGAGCGUGCGCAAGUGCGGCUACCUGCGCAAGCAGAAGCACGGCCACAAGCGCUUCUUCGUGCUGCGCGGGCCCGGCGCGGGCGGAGACGAGGCGGCGGGCGGGGGGCCGGCGCUGCAGCCGCCGCGGCUCGAGUACUACGAGAGCGAGAAGAAGUGGCGGAGCAAGGCGGGCGCCCCAAAGCGGGUCAUCGCGCUCGACUGCUGCCUGAACAUCAACAAGCGCGCCGACGCCAAGCACAAGUACCUGAUCGCCCUCUACACCAAGGACGAGUACUUCGCCGUGGCGGCCGAGAACGAGCAGGAGCAGGAGGGCUGGUACCGCGCGCUCACCGACCUGGUCAGCGAGGGCCGCGCGGCUGCCGGCGACGCGCCCCCCGCCGCCGCCACCGCCGCGUCCUGCAGCGCCUCCCUGCCCGGCGCCCUGAGCGGCUCGGCAGGCGCCGCCGCGGCCGAUGACAGCUACGGGCUGGUGGCGCCCGCCACGGCUGCCUACCGCGAGGUGUGGCAGGUGAACCUGAAGCCCAAGGGCCUGGGCCAGAGCAAGAACCUGACGGGCGUGUACCGGCUGUGCCUGUCGGCGCGCACCAUCGGUUUCGUGAAGCUCAACUGUGAGCAGCCGUCGGUGACGCUGCAGCUCAUGAAUAUCCGCCGCUGCGGCCACUCGGACAGCUUCUUCUUCAUCGAGGUGGGCCGCUCAGCCGUUACGGGCCCCGGCGAGCUGUGGAUGCAGGCCGACGACUCGGUGGUGGCUCAGAAUAUACACGAGACCAUCCUGGAGGCCAUGAAGGCUCUCAAGGAGCUCUUCGAGUUCCGGCCGCGCAGCAAGAGCCAGUCGUCCGGGUCGUCUGCCACGCACCCCAUCAGCGUCCCGGGCGCGCGCCGCCACCACCACCUGGUCAACUUGCCCCCCAGCCAAACGGGCCUGGUGCGCCGCUCACGCACGGACAGCCUGGCCGCUACCCCGCCGGCCGCCAAGUGCAGUUCGUGCCGGGUGCGCACGGCCAGCGAGGGCGAUGGCGGCGCGGCGGCGGGAGCCGGGGCGGCGGGCGGCAGGCCGGUGUCGGUGGCCGGGAGCCCCCUGAGCCCGGGGCCGGUGCGCGCGCCCCUGAGCCGCUCGCACACACUGAGCGGUGGCUGCGGCGGCCGCGGGAGCAAGGUGCCGCUGGCGCCGGCAGGGGGCGCCCUGCAACACAGUCGCUCCAUGUCCAUGCCCGUGGCGCACUCGCCGCCGGCCGCCACCAGCCCCAGCAGCCUGUCGUCCAGCAGUGGGCAUGGCUCGGGCUCCUACCCGCCGCCUCCGGGCCCGCACCCGCACCUGCAGCAUCCGCUGCAUCAUCCCAUGAGCCAGCGGCCCUCCAGCGGUAGCGCCUCGGCCUCGGGCUCCCCCAGCGACCCCGGGUUCAUGUCCCUGGACGAGUACGGCUCCAGCCCUGGGGACCUGAGGGCCUUCUGCAGCCACAGAAGCAACACGCCCGAGUCCAUUGCCGAGACUCCCCCUGCCAGGGACGGCGGCGGGGGCGAGCUGUACGGGUACAUGACCAUGGACAGGCCCCUGAGCCACUGUGGCCGCCCCUACCGCAGAGUCUCAGGGGAGGGGGCCCAGGACUUGGACAGAGGGCUGAGGAAGAGGACUUACUCGCUGACCACACCUGCCCGGCAGCGGCCAGCGCCCCAGCCCUCCUCCGCGUCCCUGGAUGAGUACACCCUGAUGAGGGCCACCUUCUCCGGCAGCUCGGGCCGCCUUUGCCCGUCCUGCCCCGCCUCCUCCCCCAAAGUGGCCUACCACCCUUACCCCGAGGACUACGGCGACAUCGAGAUCGGGUCCCGCAGGAGCUCCAGCAGUAACCUGGGCACAGACGAUGGCUACAUGCCCAUGAGCCCUGGCGCGGCCCUCCUGGGUGGAGGCAGUGUCAGCUGCAGGGGUGACGACUACAUGCCAAUGAGCCCCACCAGCGUGUCGGCCCCGAAGCAGAUCCUGCAGCCGCGCGCUGCUGGAACGGCCUUGCCCCCCACGGCAGCUGCAGUGCCCGCGCCCGCCUCUGCAGCUGGCAGGGCCUUUCCGGUGAGCGGGGGCAGCUUCAAGGCCAGCUCCCCGGCCGAGAGCUCCCCGGAGGACAGCGGGUACAUGCGCAUGUGGUGUGGUUCCAAGCUGUCGGUGGAGAACACUGACAGCAAGCUGCUUCCCAACGGGGACUACCUCAACAUGUCCCCCAGCGACGCAGGCACCUCGGGAACCCCACCCGACUUCUUCUCAGCCGCCCUGCACGGUGGGGGAGAGAUGCUCAGGGGCGUCCCCGGCUACUGUUACAGCUCCUUGCCCCGUUCCUACAAGGCUCCCUACACCUGCAAUGGGGACACGGACCAGUAUGUGCUCAUGAGCUCCCCCGUGGGGCGCAUCCUGGAAGAGGAGAGGCUGGAGCCGCCGACCAGCCCGGGGACCUCGCAGGCGGCCAGCGCCUUAGUGGCCGGGGCUGGUGGGGGUGGGCACCCCCAGGCCCCCCACCCAGUAGUGCCUUCGCCCGGGAGGCCCAGCGGCAGCGUCCGCCCGGAGGCCUUCCUGAACCAGCGCUGCCGGGCGAUGCGGCCCACGCGCCUGUCCCUGGAGGGGCUGCAGACCCUGCCCAGCAUGCACGAGUACCCUCUGCCGCCCGAGCCCAAGAGCCCCGGCGAGUACAUCAACAUUGACUUCGGCGAGGCGGGGGCGCACCUGUCGCCGCCUGCCCCUCCGCUGCUGGCUUCGGCGGCCUCGUCCUCGUCGCUGCUGUCUGCCAGCAGCCCGGCCUCGUCCCUGGGCUCGGGCACCCCGGGAACGAGCAGCGACAGCAGGCAGCGCUCCCCGCUCUCUGACUACAUGAACCUCGACUUCAGCUCCCCCAAGUCCCCCAAGCCCAGCAUCCAGGGUGCAGACCCCGUGGGCUCCUUGGAUGCCCUCCUGUCUCCUGAGGCCUCCUCCCCGUACCCGCCGCUGCCCCCGCGCCCCGCCGCGCCCACCGCUGCACUGCAGCCACAGCCGCCCCCGCCGCCCCCCCCAGGGGAACUGUACCGCCUGCUCCCCGCCUCCGCUUCCCAGGGCCCCAGCGCUGCCUCUUCUUCGUCCUCGGAGCCCGGGGACAAUGGUGACUACACCGAGAUGGCCUUUGGCGUGGCCGCCACCCCGCCACAACCCAUCGCGGCCCCCCAGAAGCCGGAAAGUGCCCGUGUGACCAGCCCCACGUCCGGCGUGAAGAGGCUGAGUCUCAUGGACCAGGUGUCUGGGGUCGAGGCCUUCCUGCAGGCGAGCCAGCCCCCAGACCCGCACCGGGGGGCCAAGGUCAUCCGUGCAGACCCACAAGGGGGCCGCCGCCGCCACAGCUCCGAGACCUUCUCCUCAACCACUGCUGUGACCCCCGUGUCCCCGUCCUUCGCCCACAACCCGAAGCGCCACAACUCGGCCUCGGUGGAAAACGUCUCUCUCAGGAAAAGCAGCGAAGGGGUUGGCAGCGGCGCCCUGGGUGGGGGUGACGAGCCCCCCACGUCCCCUCGCCAGCUGCAGCCGCCGCCUCCCCAGCAGGCGCGACCGUGGAUUCAGGGCCAGCCUGGCGGCUUGGUGGGCUGCCCUGGGGGCAGCAGCUCUCCAAUGCGCAGGGAGACCUCCGCAGGCUUCCAGAACGGCCUCAACUACAUUGCUAUCGACGUGAGGGACGAGCCGGGUCUGUCAACGCCUCCGCCAGCUCAUCCGCACCCGCCAGCAGGAGACAAGAGCGCCUGGGGCCGGACCCGUAGCCUUGGGGGUCUCAUCAGCGCCGUGGGGGGCAGCAGCGGCGGGGUGUGUGGGGGGCCGGGCCCUGGCGCCCUGCCCUCAGCCAGCACCUAUGCCAGCAUUGACUUCUUGUCCCACCAUCUGAAGGAGGCCACGAUUGUGAAAGGCUACACUUUGGACACGUGGAAAUGCUGCAAGAGAAGCAGGGAAACAGACUUGGAACUGGGAGUAUUGCACCCCAAAGUGCUCUCAGUCUAAGGAGGACAAUGACAGUGACAAUUGGGUGGCCACAAGCAAACUUUGAUGCCUCCUACAUCUACAUCUGACUUCAGAAACAGCUGCUUCUUUUGCAUUAACUUGAUCAUGUGUUUUUAUUGUAAAAAUACAUCUCUUACAGUGUCUGACUAACAUGUGCCUGCUUUGAUCCAUGCAAUACAAGGUGGGAAAUGUACGUAUAGAUACAUCUAUGAAAACUGCACACUCUGAUGUUGUAAGAACACUUCGGCUUUCUCAGGGACAAGUGCACAAACUGAAAGUUACUAAGAUUACAUGUGAGCCUCAAUUCUGCUCGUAUACUCUUAGCUCUGGUCCCUCAGCCAGCUGCCUGGAGGCAGUGGGGAAGUUUAUUGAACACCAGUUCACGACAGGAAUUGCUAGGCUAUGCAGAAAACUCACUCCGCCUUUCCACUCAGAAGACCUAGCACAAACAUCCUGGUCUAGUUGUGAAGAUGGUUGCCUUCAAGGGAUCGAAAAGGCAAGUCACGGUAUGUGCCUGUGUAUUUGAAACACUUCACUGAGAACUUUUCUCCAUUAUUCAUAUUUCAACAAAUGUUUAAUGCAUAUUUCCUCUGCCUCUGGUUAUAUCUGUGUAUCUGUUGACCUCCUCGACAUUCUUCUAGGCGUUGGGGAUAGAGUGGUGAGGAAACCUGAGUCCUUGCAUUCACAGAACUUCUUAAUGAUAAACAAGUUCACAGACACAAAACCUGAGGGGAAGACAAUACAGAGGGCAACACGGAGAGGGUCAGCAUCAGGGCGAACCGCGGGAGGCGUCCUGCGGAAGGACAGUGCGCAGCGGCCGAGGUGCCUGGGGCCAGCGAGCACGGCGUUGCACCACUGCAUGUGGCCAUGGGCUGCGACCCACGUGACCAGGCUGGUCUCUGCUGCAGGACACGAGGGCCGUCUCGUCGCUGGCUGUGCACACAGAGGGUUCUGAUGAAAUCAGUAGUUGAAUGAGUUGGGCUCCAUGCUAUAAGAUCUUGAUGCUGAUGUCCAUCACCCCAUGUUUAAGGUAAUUUUAUGAGUCAGCAUGACCAAACAUUACCAGGCUGUACCUUCUCUUUAUCCACUAACAUAAUUAUUGGUAUCACCUUGUUGUGACUUUGGUCAUCAGGGCCAUCUGCCCAAGAUGACCAUGCUGUCCACAUGAAAGCAAAGCACAGAGAAGUCACGGGGGCUGUUCCUUCAGGGGAGCAGUCACUGACAAGCUGAGGCAAGAGGGGCACACCCAUUCAGAUACCCACGACGGGCUCUCCAGCAAUGCCCGAGGAGGCUCCAAACCAUCCCUCCCAUGUGGCUUUGGAAGGCAGGUGGCAGACCUGGUUUGUAACUGUGUGCCCGGGCCGACUCCCCCUGCAAAGCCCAGGGCCCCAUCACCCUGUGCCGGCAUCACCUGGACGCUGGGAGCUGUCCCUGCAAAGCCCUCAUCCUUGCAGGCAUGUCCACACCCCUCAGACUCCCGGGGUGCUCGGGAGGGAAGCUUUGUGCGGUGACGACCCCGCGGGUGCACUGCCUGCUCCCUGGCCCGGAGUCUCUGGGGAGCUGGUCCCCAGCACCAAAUUCUUCCUCUUGGCUAUGCCCCCUGCUAGGGGAGGCGGACAGGAGGGCCCCCGGGCCCAGCCCUGCCCUGGCCCAUCCACCAAGCUUUCGAGGAUCUGCUGGAGAUGUCAGUGCCCCGCCCUGGCUGGCAGCCCAGCUUUGGGUGACCGCUCUCAAAGCAAACUCCGCCCCUUUCUCCCAUCUGGUCCAUUUUUUGGAAACGUUAUGCAGUCAUGGCUUUCUGCUUUCAUCUCCUCUGCCGGAACCAACACCGCUGACUGGUGGCCAGAGCCACCUUCCCCCAGGGUGGUCCCAGUUCCGUGGCUGGUGCUGGCCCUCAGAGCUGGGCACACCCGCUCCUCUCCUCAGCACUUCCCUGCCGGUCACUGGGUGGGCUGCGAACUCCAUCUGCAGGGAGCAAGCAUCUAACUUGGGCAAUGGUCACACAGAACUGAAGUGGUACCUCUGCACCAGGCUGAUCGCACAGGCCCCCCACCCUGGCCUCACGCCCAGGGUGCCAGACAGCAGCAGCGGGUGGCCUCCUGUGCUCCCCUACAUCCUGGCCCCACUGUAGUGAUGGCGCCUCCACGCUGGCCUCCUCCCAAAGGCUCACUGAACACAGCAGGAGGGAGCCUUUAGCGUGGGGACGUCCUUGCAGCACCCGAGCUUCCGUUCAGAAGCGAAACUGCUCCAUCCCAGUGAGAGGAGGCAUCCAGGUGUGGCUGAAAAUAUGCUCGACCCUGGGAGUGAACGUCUGCACCCAGGGGCAGUGAACAGCCCAGGAGGAGAGUGUGAAUGAAGCCGAGCCUGCAUGGUGACCUGUCUACCUGGUGACUCAGGAAAGAUGAGAGGCCGGUGGCUGGGAGGCUGCACAGGCUGACUUCUUGAGCGGUGCUUCCAUGUGACUGCGUAAGCGUAAGUUCCCCGGGACGGGGUGUCAAACAUCCUCAACUCGCUCAUCCCGGGGGUUCAUCACACUGGACUCCAAGCUUUAUCUUGGGAAAGAAAAUACAACUUUUCAUUAUGUUUCCAUUGCAUUCAAGAUUUGGUAGAAAGGUGGUGAGACUUUUAAUUAUUGAACUGCACCAAAGUGUUCACGUAAGUAAAUUUCAAAAA